ensembl:lncRNA
CGCUCUGCUGGAGAGCCACUGCAUAGGGCUGUGUUGCAAGAGUGGGGGUCCCUCCAACGGCAGGACACGUUUGUGCUGGGCACCGCGACGCUGAACGUGACUGCUGCUGUCUCAGGGGACUUCCCAUCCACACAGGCACAAAGACAAGGAGUGAAAUGAGAGCAAUACACAGCAACCCUGCUGGGGGCUGACACACCAGGGCUCAGCACUUCCAGCUGCUUUGCUGCAAUGCCUCCCCACGAGCCCACCCCGGCGGGUCCCCAGCAGGAGGCCAAUCCUGGGAACAGAGGACUGCAAGUCGGUGCCGCCGCUGCCGGUUAUCUGCCCAGCCCUGGCAUCCCGCCUCGAGAGCCCCUCCUGGGCUGCGUUGGCUGAGCAAACCCGAGAGCGGGGCAACGGUCAGAGCGACAGAAAUGACUCGCUGGGGGAGAAGUGCAGCGAGAUGGGCUCCAGGAGAGAUGAGUCACUGCCGAGCUGCACUCCAGAAACAGCUCACAGAGCCAGCUGCUGCUGUUCAGAAGAUGAACUUACUGGGCUCUGCAGGCUGGCAACAGGGGCGCGGUAGAUGAGCUUGGCUUCAGCUAUUUCAGCGCACGCAGAAGGUGGAUCCAUUUGUGCCUGGGAAGAAUGGGAAGCCGGGCAUGCAGAAGCUGUCCUGAAGCUCUGGUGGUCAGCCCGGGCAGCUCCAACGCAGGCAGCGCUCCUUAUACCGCACUUACUCGUCUGUUAAUCAUUAAACACUGAUUAGAAAAGGCAAAACAGACAAUGCCUCGAAGGUGGUUCUGACUUUGCGGCCUUCCAGUACUUGAAGGGAGCUUACAGGCAGGAGAGGGAGUGACUUUGUACAUGGUCUGAUAGCGAUAGGGCAAGGGAGAAUGGCAUUUAACUACCAGAGGGAAGAUUUAGGUUAGAUGUGAGGAGGAAAUUCUUUACUCAGAGGGCAAUGAGGCACUGACAGUGCUGCCCAGAGCUGUGGGUGUCACAACCCUGGAGGUGCCCAAGGCCAGGUUGGAUGGGCCCUGGGCAGCCUGAGCUGGUGGGGGACACCCAGCCCACAGCAGGAGCUGGGGCAGGGGUGGCUUUGGGUCCCUUCCAGCCCAAGCCAUUCUGUGAUUCUAUGAUUCUAUGUCUUUGAAAUGGCUCUGUAUCUUGCAGUGGCCACUAUUACUUAAGGUAGAAGAGCCUAAAAUUAAACAUUUAUAUUUUGC